rnacentral:rRNA from 1 species
CCUAGGGGGUGCAGCAGUGGGGAAUAUUGGACAAUGGGCGAAAGCCUGAUUCAGCCAUGCCGCGUGUGUGAAGAAGGCCUUCGGGUUGUAAAGCACUUUCAGUGGGGAAGAAAGCCUUGGGGCUAAUACCCUCGAGGAAGGACAUCACCCACAGAAGAAGCACCGGCUAACUCCGUGCCAGCAGCCGCGGUAAUACGGAGGGUGCGAGCGUUAAUCGGAAUUACUGGGCGUAAAGCGCGCGUAGGCGGUCUGAUAAGCCGGUUGUGAAAGCCCCGGGCUCAACCUGGGAACGGCAUCCGGAACUGUCAGGCUAGAGUGCAGGAGAGGAAGGUAGAAUUCCCGGUGUAGCGGUGAAAUGCGUAGAGAUCGGGAGGAAUACCAGUGGCGAAGGCGGCCUUCUGGACUGACACUGACGCUGAGGUGCGAAAGCGUGGGUAGCAAACAGGAUUAGAUACCCCAGUAGUC